rnacentral:rRNA from 1 species
AUUGAACGCUGGCGGCAGGCCUAACACAUGCAAGUCGAGCGGAUGACGGGAGCUUGCUCCUUGAUUCAGCGGCGGACGGGUGAGUAAUGCCUAGGAAUCUGCCUGGUAGUGGGGGACAACGUUUCGAAAGGAACGCUAAUACCGCAUACGUCCUACGGGAGAAAGCAGGGGACCUUCGGGCCUUGCGCUAUCAGAUGAGCCUAGGUCGGAUUAGCUAGUAGGUGAGGUAAUGGCUCACCUAGGCGACGAUCCGUAACUGGUCUGAGAGGAUGAACAGACACAGUGGAACUGGGACACGGUCCAGGCUCCUACGGGAGGCAGAAGUGGGGAAUAUGGGACGAUGGGCGAAAGGGAGAUCCUGGCAUGCCGAGUGUGUGAAGAAGGUGUUCAGAAUGUAAAGCACUUUAAGUUGGGAGGAAGGGAAGUAAGUUAAUACCUUGCUGUUUUGACGUUACCGACAGAAUAAGCACCGGCUAACUCUGUGCCAGCAGCCGCCGUAA